rnacentral:rRNA from 1 species
CUCGACCUACGGGGGGCAGCAGUAGGGAAUCUUCCACAAUGGACGAAAGUCUGAUGGAGCAACGCCGCGUGAGUGAAGAAGGGUUUCGGCUCGUAAAGCUCUGUUGGUAGUGAAGAAAGAUAGAGGUAGUAACUGGCCUUUAUUUGACGGUAAUUACUUAGAAAGUCCCGGCUAACUACGUGCCAGCAGCCGCGGUAAUACGUAGGUGGCAAGCGUUGUCCGGAUUUAUUGGGCGUAAAGCGAGGGCAGGCGGUUCAAUAAAGCUGAUGUGGAAGGCUU